rnacentral:misc_RNA from 1 species
GAUGAAGAAGGCAGCGAAAUGCGAUAAGUAAUGUGAAUUGCAGAAUUCAGUGAAUCAUCGAAUCUUUGAACGCACCUUGCGCUCUUUGGUAUUCCGAAGAGCAUGCCUGUUUGAGUGUCAUGAAAAUAUCAACCUUGACUUGGGUUUUGUGCUCUAGUCUCGGCUUGGAAUUGGGUGCUUGCCGCUUUUACGAGCGGCUCACCUUAAAUGUAUUAGCUGGAUCUGUCUUUGAGACUUGGUUUGACUUGGCGUAAUAAGUAUUUCGCUAAGGACAUUCUUCGGAGUGGCCUCGUUUCUAGGACGCUUGUCCGCUUUCCAAUACAAGUUCCACCUCGUGGACAUGACUUUUUAUUAUCUGGCCUCAAAUCAGGUAGGACUACCCGCUGAACUUAAGCAUAUCAAUAAGCGGAGGA